rnacentral:rRNA from 1 species
GGUCAAGCUACAAAGGGCGCAUGGUGAAUGCCUUGGCAUCAGGAGCCGAUGAAGGACGCGAUAAGCUGCGAUAAGCUUCGGGUAGACGCACAUAGUCAGAGAUCCGAAGAUUUCCGAAUGAGGAAACUCACAUGGGAAACCCCAUGUAUCAUAAAGUGAAUACAUAGCUUUAUGAAGGUAAACCCAGGGAACUGAAACAUCUAAGUACCUGGAGGAAGAGAAAGAAAAAUCGAUUUUCUUAGUAGCGGCGAGCGAAAAGGAAAGAGCC